rnacentral:rRNA from 1 species
AGUGAACGCUGGCGGUAUGCCUAACACAUGCAAGUCGAACGGCAGGACAGUAAGAGCUUGCUGUUACGAGGGGCGAGGGGCGGGCGGGUGGGGAGUACAUUAGCAGCAACUUUUGCGUGGGGGAGAACGUAGGGAAACUAACGCGAAUAACGCAAAGGACCUACGGGGGAAAGCAGGGGAACUUGGGACCUGGGGAGAGCGAAGGAGCCGAUGUCGGAUUAGCUAGUUGGCGGGGUAAAGGCGCACCAAGGCGACGGUCCGUAGCCGGCCUGAGAGGGUGAUCAGCCACACUGGAACUGAGACACGGUCCAGACUCCUACGGGAGGCGGCAGUGGGGAAUAUUGGACGAUGGGCGCAAGCCUGAUCCAGCCAUACCGCGUGGGUGAUGAAGGCCUUCUGGUUGUAAAGCCAUUUUGUUCGGAAAGAAAAGCAGCAGGUUCAUACCCCGCGGUUCUGACGGUACCCAAAGAAUAAGCACCGGCUAACUUCGUG